UGCGGAAGGAUCAUUACCGAGUUCAUGCCCUCACGGGUAGAUCUCCCACCCUUUGUAUACCAUACCUUUGUUGCUUUGGCGGGCCGCCUAGCUACUGGCUUCGGCUGGUAAGUGCCCGCCAGAGGACCCAAAACCCUGAAUAUUAGUGUCGUCUGAGUAAAAUUUUAAUAUUUAAAACUUUCAACAACGGAUCUCUUGGCUCUGGCAUCGAUGAAGAACGCAGCGAAAUGCGAUAAGUAAUGUGAAUUGCAGAAUUCAGUGAAUCAUCGAAUCUUUGAACGCACAUUGCGCCCCUUGGUAUUCCGAGGGGCAUGCCUAUUCGAGCGUCAUUAUCACCCCUCAAGCUUCGGCUUGGUGUUGAGGCCUGCUGUAAAGGCACCCUCUAAAAUCAGUGGCAGUGCUGUCAGGCUCUAAGCGUAGUAAUUUCAUCGCUAUAGGGUCCUGGUGGAUACUCGUCAAAACCCCCCCAUUUUUUAAUGAUUGACCUCGGAUUAGGUAGGGAUACCCGCUGAACUUAAGCAUAUCAUAACCGGGAAAGAAAAAAGUCCAGGACGGAGUUCAGGCCUCCGGGGUGAAUCUCCACCCUUUGUAUACCAUACCUUUG
rnacentral:rRNA from 1 species